CUGGCACGCCCCCUCCGGUGGAUCUUUGCGCAGGUAUUUUUCUUUUAUUCUAGAAAAAAUCUCCGUAAAUUUUUAGGACAUUCCGAGAACUUUUAUUUCUGCACAAAAAUAACACCAUGACAAUUCUGCUGAAAACACCGUUAGUCCGGGUUAGUUCCAUUCAAAUCAUGCAAGUUAGAGUCCAAAACAAGGGCAAACGAGUUUGGAAAAGUAGAUACGACAGAGAUGUAUCAACUCCCCCAAGCUUAAAGCCUUGCUUGUCCUCAAGCAACUCAGUUGACAAAUUGAGAGAGACAAAAGAUUGACGAACUCUGGUUGAUCUUGUUGUUGCAAGUAUGUCUAACUCACAACCAGAAUUUCAGCAAGAUCACAAGCAAACCACAUAAGCAAAUGACAUCUAGGUCUCACGGUAAACUCAUAUCAAUGGCAUAAUCAACAAGCGAGCAAAUAAUAAUAAGUUUCAAACGUCAACACUUCAAUCAAAACAAUCAUGAAGCAGUACGAAGAGGUGGUAUCUCGCUAGCUCUUUCUGAGACUGCAAAACAUAAAUGCAGAGCACUUCAAUGACCAAGAGCUGACUAAACAUUGUAAUUCAAGGCAAUGAAGAUCCAGUCACAGUCAUACUCAACACAGUUAAAAGCAAAGCAUAAAAAUGACAGAGGUCCUCUCUAAUUGGUGCUUUUGUAAGAGGAGGAUGAGUCAAUAGGAACAUAAAUAGACAGGCCCUUUGCAGAGGGAGGCAUUGAUUUGCAGAGGUGCCAUAGCUCAAGCUUUGAAAAUAGAGAUAAUAAUUUUGGGUGGCAUGCUUUUCAUUGUCAACGCAAUGACUAAGAGUUCUCAACAUCUUCCAUGCUACACAUGCUAUAUGCGGUUCCGAAACAGAAAAGUAAAGUUUUGACUCCCCCCCACCAAUCAAUCACACUCCACGGCUAGCCGAAUCCUCGGGUACCGUCCAUACCAACAUCAAUCUUGGGGGAGUUUUGUUUGCAAUUAUCUUUUCGAUUUGAGCAUGGAACUGGGAAUUCCAAUUACCGGCCCCUUUCUCGUGAAUGAUAGUGAAUAAACACAUAUCGAGGAUAACACGCCUAGCAUGGAAGAUACUGAUAGCCCCGUGUCACCACAUGAGCGGUUCGGACAUGCAAAACAGAUUAUUUAUUGAAGAUUUAGAGAGUGGCACAUGCAAAUUUACUUGGAACGGCAGGUAGAUACCGCACAUAGGUAGGUAUGUGGACUCAUAUGGAACAACUUUGGGUUUGUGGAAGUGGAUGCAUAAGCAGUAUUCCCGCUUAGUACAAGUGAGGGCUAGCAAAAGACUGGGAAGCGACCAACUAGAGAGCGACAACAGUCAUCAAAAUGCAUUGAGAUUAACUAACAUUGAGUGCAAGCAUGAGUAGGACAUAAAUCACCAUGAACAUGAACAUCUUAGAGGCUAUGUUGGUUUUGUUUCAACUACAUGCGUGAACAUGCGCCAAGUCAAGCCACUUGAAACAUUCAAAGGAGGAUACCAUCCUAUCAUACUGCAACACAGUCAUCUCAACAUUCAUGUGGGCAUCCAAGACAAACCAUUAUAAGCUCCUAGCUAAGUAAGCAUGGCAUAAGCAACUAUGAUCUCUAAGUUGUCAUUGCAAACAUGUUUCUCUCACAACAAAGCUGAAUCAGGCAUGAUGAGCUAGUCAUAUUUACAAAAACAAAAUAGAUCGAGUUCAUACCAGCUUUUCUAGACUCAGUCACUUCAUCAUAUAUCGUCAUUAUUGCCUUUCACUUGCACGACCGAACGAUGUGAACAAUAAUAAGCGUGCUCGUGCAUUGGACUAAAUCUGGAAUCUGCAGGCAAACACAAAGGAUAAGACAAAGUAAUAUGGCUCUUUGAAAGCUAAACAGGUAUGCAUGCAAGAGCCACUAAACAUUGUAACCAAUAUCUUCUACCUUGACCCAAAGAAAAAGAAAAUUAUUUACACGGGAAAGCUCCCAACAAGCAAAAGAAGAAAACAAAAAUCGUUUUUUUUUCUCAAACUAGACAGACACACGAAAAGAAAACGAAAAAAAGAAAAUAACCUAGCAUGGAUGAUACAGUGGCAACGUGUGAACAUCGGCUAACAAAGUGAAAGCAUAAGCAAUAAUGUAAAGUCGGUGAGAACACGUACUCCCCCAAGCUUAGGCUUUUUGCCUAAGUUGAUCUACUCCCAAGGAUGGUCCUGGCGAAACCCAAAAUCAUAAUGGGUGUUAUACGGGAGCGCUGCAGCCACUGCCUGAAUAGCUUCCUCGCGAAGACGAGCAGCCUUUGCCUCCCUCUCAUACUCCUCUGCCUCUCCUCUGGUUAUGUAAUAUCUCCGUUUUACCUGAAAGUCAAAGAAGGCAGGAGCAGGAAGGGUAAUAUGGAAAACACACUGCCGGUUAAAUAUCAAACGGCAUAGGAGGGAUUCGUCAUCCCUCUCAAGGAACUGGUAGCGUGUCAAAGCGACGCGGUCAAGGAAAGCUAUAUGGAGCGGGGGAUCUCCUUCACGGAUGGGUAUUCCAAGAAAAUUUGCUAUGCGAGUGCAUAGAUCCCACCAAAGAAAUCCCCUUCAAUAGCAUUCUUAUUCAGCCUCCUUGCUAUAAUAGCUCCCAUGUUGAAGCUUUUGUCACCCGUCACUGCGCUCUUAAGGAUACUAAGGUCGGGUGUGUAGAGGUGACAAUGCUCAAUCUUGUCAUUAAUGCAUCUAGCUAUGAAGAGGGCAAAGUAAUGCAAGGCAGGAAAAUGAAUACUCCCCAUGGUAGCUUGCGUAAUGUCUCUGGUUUCUCCAACAGUAAUACUAGAGCAAAAAUCCCUAACCGAAGAUUUAGGAGGAUCAUUGAGGCUACCCCAAAUAGGUAUUUUGCAAAUUCUAUUGAAAUCCUCUAAAUCCAUGGUAUACGAUUUAUCAUAGAGAUCAAACAGUACCGAUGUCUCACGACCAGCUGAAAAUUUGAAUCUACGAACAAAAGAGGCAGUGAGAGCAACAUACUGUUCACAUUCAUCGGAGAUGAAUUCUUCGAGUCCAACGUUGUGAACAAGUGCAUCAAACUCAUCUUUGAAACCUGCCUCAAUCAUAAAUUCAUCAGAAGGCCAUUCACAUGGUUGUACCUGCGCGUCCCUUGGUUGGUAAGGAUCAGGCUCCCGUAUCGCUAGACGGGGACCUCUCGUGCUUGAGGAACCACCAUGAUAGUUUCUCCUGAACAUCUUCCUUUUCUGAAAUUUUCAGUGAUUCUAUGGAAAGGUGAACAAGGCUCAACUAAACUCGUAGCAACUACUCCCACAAGUGCCUAGAGGCAAUAUUACGCAUCAAAACUACUUAGGACUAGCUAAAAUAAGCAUGCAAAGCUCAAGAACAUGGUCACCAAGGCAGCAAAAAUACGCGGAGUAUAAGACACUAGAGCAAAAACUAAUUGGACCAAUGGAGGUGUCACUUACCAAGGAGUAAUUUCCCCAAAACAGUUCGGAGAAUGGUGCUUUGAGCAAAGAGAUCGAAAAUUCCAGCAAGAGGAGCAAGAACACGGGUUUGAGCUGCGAAACGUUUUUUUUCUAGAGGUAGGAGAAGGAGAUAAGACCAAGAAGGACUGGUGGGGAUGCCUGUGGGCCCCACAAGCCAGGGUGGCGUGGCGAGGGGGGUGCCCGCGCCGUCAGGGCUGGUGCAGCCCCCAGACAAGCUCUUUGUCUCAGAAUUUUUCAAAAAUCCCAGAAAAAAUCAUACUUGAUUUUCAGGACGUUCGGAGAACUUUUAUUUUCGGGGUACUUUUCUACCAGACGCUAAAACAGAAAACAGGGAAAACUAAACUAUAUCUAUCAUUUUUCUUCUAAGCAACCUAAAGUGAAAGCUUGGAACAGAGGUUCGUGACUCCUCGAAUCGUCCAUCUCAUGGUCAUCGAAGGAAAUCCGUCAAUGAGGUUGAUCAAGUCUCCUCAACAAACCUUUUCGAAUCGCAAAAUGAGAACAGAGAAUUCUUGAAUAGUCACUAAGUUACCUCAAUGGGGAUAUGUGUUUCCCCAACAAGCAAAUAAUACUUCAUCUUGACACGAGGAAUAGGGCAUUCAAAGCUCCCAAUAAGAAUUGAUGAAGUCUUUUCGAUAGCAUUGAUGCAAUGUACUCGAUAUUAUUUCUUCGAAAAGUGCACCGUAUGCUCAUUACCGUUGACAUGGAAAGUGACAUUGCCUUUGUUGCAAUCUAUAACAGCCCCUGCAGUGUUUAAAAAGGGUCUUCCGAGGAUGACUACCAUGGCAUCGUCCUCGGGAAUAUCCAAGAUAACAAAGUAUGUUAAGAUAGUGAUAUUCGCAACCACAAUAGGCACAUCCUCGCAAAUGCCGAUAGGGAAAGNNNNNNNNNNNNNNNNNNNNNNNNNNNNNNNNNNNNNNNNNNNNNNNNNNNNNNNNNNNNNNNNNNNNNNNNNNNNNNNNNNNNNNNNNNNNNNNNNNNNNNNNNNNNNNNNNNNNNNNNNNNNNNNNNNNNNNNNNNNNNNNNNNNNNUCAGGGAAAGAAGUUGAUUUGUCGGCCAUUUGCAGAGAGAUUUCAGUGGGUGUCAACUUAUCUAGUUCAAGUCUACGAUAAAGAGAGAGAGGCAUAACACUAACAUCGGCUCCAAGGUCGCAUAAAGCAGUUCUCACGUAGUUACCUUUAAUGGAGCAAGGUAUAGUGGGCACACCGGGAUCACGUAGUUUCUUAGGAGUUCCACCCUUGAAGGUAUAAUUAGCCAGCAUGGUGGAAAUCUCAACCUCAACCUCAGGUAUCCUCCUCUUAUUAGUCAGAAUUUAUUUCAUGUACUUAGCAUAUGGGGACAUUUUGAGCAUAUCUGUCAAACACAUUUGCAGAAACACAGGUCUGAUCAUUUCAACGAAUCGCUCAAAAUCCUCAUCAUCCUUUUUCUUGGAUGGUUUGGGAGGAAAGGGCAUGGGUUUCUGAACCCAUGGCUCCCUUUAUUUACCGUGCUUCCUAGCAGUGAAGUCAUUCUUAUCGUAUCUUCUAGUCUUAGGCUCUGGGUUAUCAAGAUCAACAGGUUCAAUCUCCACAUCCUUUUCAUUGCUAGGUUGAGCAUCAUCAUGAACAUCACUAUUGAUAUUAUCAUUAGGCUCAUGUUCAUCACCAGAUUGUGUUUCAGCAUCAGAGACAAAGGCAUUGUUUGGACUCUCAGGUGUAGCAGCAACGGGGUUGCUAGCGUGCAGGUUCCUAUCAUCUUUCUUCUUCUUUCUAGGAUGACUAGGUGCAUCACUGCUAACUCCUUGAGAAUCUUGUUCAAUUCUCUUCGGAUGACCCUCGGGAUACAGAGGUUCCUGGGUCAUUCUACCGCCUCUAGUAACGACUCUAACAGAAUUGUCAUUCAACUCAUUGAGCAAGUCAUUCUGAGCUUUAAGUACUUGUUCUACCUGAGUAGUAACCAUAGAGGCAUGCUUACUCAGAAGGUUAAGAUCAUUGACAUUUCUGUUCACACAAGCACUUAAUUGACUAAGCAUACGAGCAUUUUGUUCCAAUUGUCUGCUAACAUAAUCAUUGAAACUCUGUUGUUUGGCAACAAAGUUAUCAAAUUCAUCCAUGCAUAAGCUAGCAGGUCUAUCAAAAGGAAUAUCACUCUCAUCAAACCUACGCAGAGAAUUUACUUCUACUACCUGUAUCGGGUUAUCGAGACCAUGGAUCUCUUCGAUAGGUGGUAGAUUUUUGACAUCUUCAGAUUUAAUGCCUUUCUCUCGCAUAGAUUUCUUGGCUUCUUGCAUAUCUUCAGGACUGAGGAAUAAAAUACCUCUUUUCUUCAGAGUUGGCUUAGGAGGUGGUUCGGGAAUAGUCCAAGCAUUCUCAUUGCACAGGAUGUUAUUCAGUAGAAUCUCAGCCUGUUCUACAGUUCGUUCCCUAAAAACACAAGCAAUACAACUAUCUAGGUGGUCUCUGGAAGCAUCGGUAAGUCCAUUAUAGAAGAUAUAAAGUAUUUCAUUCUUCUCAAGAGGGUGAUCAGGCAAAGCAUUCAGUAGCUGGAUGAGCCUCCCCCAAGCUUGUGGAAGACUCUCUUCUUCAGCUUGAGCAAAGUUGUAUAUUUCCUGCAAGGCAGCUUGCUUCUUAUGGGGAGGGAAAUAUUUUUCAGAGAAGUAUUAGACCAUAUCCUGGGGGCUAUGCACACAACCAGGAGCAAGAGAAGUGAACCAAGUCUUAGCAUCAUCCUUUAGCGAGAAAGGAAACAGCUUGAGGAUAUAGUAGUGGCGGAUCUUUUCCUCACUAGUGAAUAGGGUGGCCAUAUCGUGCAGUUUGGUAAGAUGGGCUACAACCGUUUCAGACUCAUAACCGUGAAAAGGAUCAGAUUCGACCAGAGUGAUUAACUCAGGGUUGACAGAGAAUUCAUAAUCCUUAUCGGUCACAAAGAUAGGCGAAGUAGCAAACUUCGGGUCAUAUUUCAUCCUAGCGUUCAGAGAUUUUUCUUUCCACUUGCAUAAUAAUUUCUCAACAUCAUAGUUAUCCUUACACGCAAGAAAGUCCUCAGCUAUCUCUCCCUCCAUAACAUAGCGUGUAUCAGGCAUAGCAGGCAUAGUAUCAAGCAUAGCAUCAUCGGGCAUAGUAUCAAGCAUAGCAUCAUGGGCAGCAAAAGUAGCAUCAUCUAGCAUAGGCGACAUAUCAAGAUUUCUAGCUAGAGGUGAAGUCACAAACUUACUCAAAACUGAAGGUGAAUCAAGUGCAGAGCUAGAUGGCAGUUCCUUACCUCUCCUUGUAGUGGAAGACAAGAUUUUAGUUCUUGGAUCUUUCGGAUUCCUCAUAGUGAUCAGCAGACGCCAAUCCCAAGUGACUCAGAGAAUAUAGCUGUGCUUACCCGGCAACGACGCUAGAAAAAUGUCUUGAUGACCCACAAGUAUAGGGGAUCGCAACAGUUUUCGAGGGUAGAGUAUUCGACCCAAAUUUGUUGAUUCGCCAAAGGGGAAGCGAAAGAAUAUUCUCAAGUAUUAGCAGCUCAGUUUGUCAAAUUCAACCACACCUGAAAUAUUAGUGUCUGCAAGCAAAGUAUCAGUAGCAAAGUAGUAUGAUAGCAACGGUGUCAGAAACAUAACUGUUGACGACAGACUAUUCCUAACUGUUGUAUCAAUGGCGCCAAUGUUGCACGUGGGCGGGGAACUAUUCUUUCCCGACAAUGGUGUCGAAAAAGUCUUGCAACAAGUAACAGUGAAGUAGCAAGGAACAGCAGUAGCAGCAGAGUAACAACAGUAGCAACAGUAGUACCAAAGUGGCCCAAUCCCUUUUGUAGCAAGGGACAAGCCUAGACAAAGUAACGUAGCAAGGACUAGUAGUAAAAUACUCGUAGGCAGUGGAUCGGUGAUGGAUGAGUAUGACGGAUGUGAUUCAUCAUGUAACAGCUAUAAUACGGAGAGAUAAGUAACUAGCUCUCGUUCGUCAAUCUAAUGUAGGCAUGUAUUCCGUAUGUAGUCAUACGUGCUUAGGAAAAAGAACUUGCAUGACAUCUAUUGUACAUCCCUCCCGUGGCAGCGGGGUCCUAAUGGAAACUAUGGGAUAUUAAGGUUCUCCUUUUAAUAAAGAACCGGACCAACGCAUUAACACGCGGUAUAUACAUGAACUCCUCAUACUAUGGUCAUCUCCGGGAGGUGGCGGCGCCUCCGUAUCGUAAAACGCGAUGAAACCUUCUCUCUGAUUUUUUUUCCGGGCGAGACGGAAUAAAUAGAGCUGAGUUUGGGGGCGGAGGUGCCACAUGGGCCCCACAAGCCCUCACGGCGCGGCCUAGGGGGGUGGCCGCGGCCUGUGGGCUUGUGGCCCACUGGCACGCCCCCUCUGGUGGAUCUUUGCGCAGGUAUUUUUCUUUUAUUCCAAAAAAAAUCUCCGUAAAUUUUCAGGACAUUCAGAGAACUUUUAUUUCUGAACAAAAACAACACCAUGGCAAUUCUGCUGAAAACAGCGUUAGUCCGGGUUAGUUCCAUUCAAAUCAUGCAAGUUAGAGUCCAAAACAAGGGCAAAAGAGUUCGAAAAAGUAGAUACGACGGAGACGUAUCACGUUCCAAGCAAGCCAGGCUCUCGGUUCUUUAAGUAUUGUGCCGUUGCAAGUCAGGUCUCAAUGCAGGCAACCAAACGGCCCAUUUUCAUCCCUCCAAGGACUGGUUGCUCUCUAUGCAGGCAACCAAACACGUCCUACUAGACCUUGAUGUCUCUUUUCCUGGCGUCUCUUAUUCCUUGGUACCUUUUUCACAUUCUUCUUAUUGCUAAUCUAUUGUCUCGCAGGAACUAACUCCUCUCUUUUCCUUCAUGUGCGACAAAUUUGAAUGUAAUGGAAGAAUGUUCCAACUAGUAGAACUUGAUGU
rnacentral:lncRNA from 1 species